rnacentral:rRNA from 1 species
CAGCCGCCGCGGUAAUACGGAGGAUGCGAGCGUUAUCCGGAUUUAUUGGGUUUAAAGGGUGCGUAGGCGGCUUUGUAAGUCAGCGGUGAAAUUUUGCAGCUUAACUGUAAAAGCGCCGUUGAUACUGUGAAGCUAGGAUUUGGUUGCUGUGGGCGGAAUGUGUGGUGUAGCGGUGAAAUGCAUAGAGAUCACACAGAAUAUCGAUUGCGAAGGCAGCUCACAAAGCCAAUAUUGACGCUGAGGCACGAAAGUGUGGGGAUCAAACAGGAUUAGAUACCCUGGUAGUCCACACUGUAAACGAUGAUAACUCGCUGUCGGCGAUAGACCGUCGGUGGCCAAGCGAAAGCGAUAAGUUAUCCACCUGGGGAGUACGACCGCAAGGUUGAAACUCAAAGGAUUGACGGGGCCGCACAAGCGGAGGAACAUGUGGUUAAUUCGAUGAUACGCGAGGAACCUUACCCGGGCUCGAACGGUGCAUGAAAGUUCAAGAGAUUGGACAGUCCUUCGGGACAUGUAUCGAGGUGCUGCAUGGUUGUCGUCAGCUCGUGCCGUGAGGUGUCGGCUUAAGUGCCAUAACGAGCGCAACCCUUGUCAUUAGUUACCAUCAGGUUAAGCUGGGGACUCUAGUGAGACUGCCACCGUAAGGUGUGAGGAAGGGGGGGAUGACGUCAAAUCAGCACGGCCCUUAUGUCCGGGGCGACACACGUGUUACAAUGGGGGGUACAGAGGGCAGCCAGUUAGUGAUAACGCGCCAAUCUCAAAAACCUCUCUCAGUUCGGAUUGGAGUCUGCAACUCGACUCCAUGAAGUUGGAUUCGCUAGUAAUCGCGCAUCAGCCAUGGCGCGGUGAAUACGUUCCCGGGCCUUGUACACACCGCCCGUCACACCAUGAGAGUCGGAAACACCCG